rnacentral:SRP_RNA from 1 species
GCCAGGUGUCGUGGCGGGCACCUGUAAUCCCAGCUACUUAGGAGGCUGAGGUGGGAGAAUCACUUGAACCCAGGAGGUGGAGGUUGCAGUGAGUCGUCGAGAUCAUGCCAUUGCACUCAAGCCUGGGUGACAGAGUGAGACUCCAUCUCAA